GAUGAACGCUGGCGGCGUGCCUAAUACAUGCAAGUCGAGCGAACAGACGAGGAGCUUGCUCCUCUGACGUUAGCGGCGGACGGGUGAGUAACACGUGGAUAACCUACCUAUAAGACUGGGAUAACUUCGGGAAACCGGAGCUAAUACCGGAUAAUAUAUUGAACCGCAUGGUUCAAUAGUGAAAGACGGUUUUGCUGUCACUUAUAGAUGGAUCCGCGCCGCAUUAGCUAGUUGGUAAGGUAACGGCUUACCAAGGCAACGAUGCGUAGCCGACCUGAGAGGGUGAACGGCCCCACUGGAACUGAGAAACGGUCCCGACUCCGACGGGAGGCAGCAGUAGGGAAUCUUCCGGCAUGGGGGGAAGCCUGACGGAGCAAAGACGCGGGGGUGAUGAAGGUCUUCGGAUCGUAAAACUCUGUUAUUAGGGAAGAACAAAUGUGUAAGUAACUAUGCACGUCUUGACGGUACCUAAUCAGAAAGCCACGGCUAACUACGUG
rnacentral:rRNA from 1 species